AUGUCAUCCUGCAGCCGUGUGGCCCUGGUAACUGGACAUAACAAGGGCAUCUGCCUCCCAAUCACACACGACCUGUGUCGCAAAUUCUCCAGGGACGUGCCCGGAACAAGGUGCAGGCCGCACCACUGUGCAGCUGCUGCAGGUGGAAGGUCUUAGCCCACGCUUCCACCAGCUGGACAUGGACGACCUGCAGAGAAUCCGCCCACUGCAAGACUUUCUGCUCAAGGAGUACGGAGGACUGGACCUGCUGGUCAACAAUGCAGGCGUCUACUUCAAGGGUAACUCACCAAAUGGAAACACUGCUCUUGUGUCUGUAUUUCUACAUGGUGGUGUGUUUUCAGGCAGAGUGGUGAAUGUGUCCAGCAUGGAGAGUCUCAGGGCCCUGAAAAACUGCAGCCCGGAGCUGCAGCAGAAGUUUCGAAGUGAGACCAUCACUGAGGAGGAGCUGGUGGGGCUCAUGAAGAAGUUUGUGGAGGACACAAAGAAAGGAGUCCAUUCAAAAGAAGGAUGGCCUGAUAGUGCAUAUGGGGUGUCCAAGAUUGGGGUGACAGUCCUGUCCAGAAUCCAUGCCAGGAAACUCAAUGAGCAGAGGAGAGGGGACAAGAUCCUCCUGAACGCCUGCUGCCCUGGGUGGGUCAGAACCGACAUGACAGGACCAAAAGCCCCCAAAAGCCCAGAAGAAGGAGCAGAGACCCCCGUGUAUUUGGCUCUUUUGCCUCCACAUGCAGUGGGGCCUCACGGGCAGUUUGUUCAAGAUAAAAAUGUUGAACAAUGGUGACCUGAACUCUCACCUCUUGCCCCCUUGUAUUCUGACGUGGUGAAGGCCAAGGACAUUUAUAGUACAGUAACACCCCUAAAAAAUA